rnacentral:lncRNA from 1 species
GUAAACACUCCAACUGCAUUUCAGUUUAAGUUUCCAGUUUCUCAUGAAGUUCAAUCACUUUUGUAGCUGAAACAAUUUGUGUGCAAAGCCUACAUCUAAACACUUGAGGAAAUGAUCAGUAACUAUUCAGUACCAAACAUGGUAAAUCUCAAGUGGCAGUGGACUUCCAACUCAUCAACUCGUUCCCUCUCCCAUACCUUCACAGCCUCACAGUCAAGGUCAGCAGGAAGCUCAGUUGGCACCUUCAUGGUGACCUCUCCAUUAUCCUGCCUCACUCGGAACCCUUUUCAGUUUAUUUACUAUGCAGUAGACAGUCAUUCUUUUGUACUCAGCUAGCUUUGGUUUAUGUGCCAAUGCUUUGUCUUUCUGUUACACACAGUUGUUUUGAUUUAUUUACAAUAUAUGCUGUGCCAUUUUGAUUUUUAUUGUGUUUGGUUGGUUGAAUAAAUUUGCGACACUGAAACACUUGAGGUGAUAGUUAAAAACAAAUACCAGUAUUUGAUCCAGUUUCAUCUCAACCGUGUUAUACCUGGACAUUUUAGAUGUUUAUCAAAGGUCUUUUAUGGGGAAGAAAGUAAAUGUAUGAAAUAAUAAAUGUAUGACAUUUAUAAGUAAUGUUGGCUCAGAACAAACUUUUGAAAACUUAGUUGACAAAUUUUUGGAUCAACUGAAAAAAAAAGCAUGACUUUUGAAAUCUCUGAAUGCCUUGGUUCUCAGUAUUAUUCUUUUUGAAUUUAUUUCUUAUUAAUGUAGUUUUUAAGACUUUUUUUCUGACAGUAUUAUGUAAUUUUUUAGCGUGGGUAGAUGGGAGUGUCGCUUGUAUGUUAUCGUACAGCUGACAUGUAUUUUUUGUCUAUUCUUUAUUACCGUAGUAGUUUCAUGCUAUGUAGGUACCAUAACCAACCUAUUGUCUAUGAGAAACAUGUAAGAUAAUGUAUUUACAGCCAUUGUUACAAGUUUAUAAUGUAUUUUUCUAUCUUGUUUUAUAUGUAUGUUAUAUAACAUUCAAAAAGAAUUUUUUUCUUGAUUGAGAAAAGGAUACAAAAUGCAAAAUCCACAGUUUUGAUAACUGAAAAUUGCCAAUUGUUUUGCAGUACUUUAUUAUACUGGGUGUCUUGUCUUUUUUGGGCUUUUAGUUAGCUAAUGAAUGAAUACAUUAGACACUUUUGGGUUUUAGUUGGGAUUUCACAUAGCUUGCAUUUUAAUUCUUUGGUUCUUUGCUGUUUCUAUUAACCCAUAGCAUUAUUUUAAUAAAUAUUAUAAUACCAACCUAAAAAAAAAGAA